AUAACCGUCGUCCACGAGCUCGCAGAUCUCCGCCACUGCUGCCCGGGUUAACGUUUCCAUGAUGGUCGCGAGCUGGGAAUGAAAGGGCUGCAGAGGGUACAGUUCACUAGGCGAAAGGUAGGAAACACACUGUACAGGUCGCCAGUCCAUCACAGGGAAAUGUUGGUCUGCGUUGGAGUGAGGGUGAGGUUGCCCUCAUCAUCGGUGGCAACACUGUCUUCUGUCAGAACAUAGUAACCAUUGGCGAGAAGCCGCGGACUCCGACGGCACACACACAGUGAGCCUGUGGCUGGGUUGACUGAUAAACACUCGUACGAGGUAUCGGAA